rnacentral:rRNA from 1 species
AAGACCUUGCGCUUUUGGAGCGGCCGAUGCCUGAUUAGCUUGUUGGUAAGGUAAAGGCUUACCAAGGCUUCGAUCAGUAGCUGGUCUGAGAGGACGGCCAGCCACACUGGGACUGGGACACGGCCCAGACUCCUACGGGAGGCAGCAGUGGGGAAUUUUGGACAAUGGGGGAAACCCUGAUCCAGCCAUGCCGCGUGAGUGAAGAAGGCCUUCGGGUUGUAAAGCUCUUUCAGCCGGAACGAAACGGUUACGGAUAAUACCCGUGACUACUGACGGUACCGGAAGAAGAAGCACCGGCUAACUACGUGCCAGCAGCCGCGGUAAUACGUAGGGUGCGAGCGUUAAUCGGAAUUACUGGGCGUAAAGCGUGCGCAGGUGGUUUUGUAAGUCAGAUGUGAAAGCCCCGGGCUCAACCUGGGAACU